UAGGGAAUAUUGGAAAUGGACGAAAGUCUGAUCUAGCAACACCGCGUGUGCGAAGAAGGCCUUCGGGUUGUAAAACCCUUUUUGGAAGGAUUAGGAAGGAAUGUACUUCCAGAAUAAGUCUCGGCUAACUACGUGCCAGCAGCCGCGGUAACACGUAGGAGGCAAACGUUAUCCGGCUUUACGGGGCGUAAAGCGCGUGUAGGUGGUUCUGUAAGUAGGGCGUGAAAGCUCCUGGCUCAACUGGGAGAGGCCGUUCGAAACUG
rnacentral:rRNA from 1 species